GUAGGUGGCAAGCGUUGUCCGGAAUUAUUGGGCGUAAAGCGCGCGCAGGGCGGUCCUUUAAGUCUGAUGUGAAAGCCCACGGCUCAACCGUGGAGGGUCAUUGGAAACUGGGGGACUUGAGUACAGAAGAGGAAAGCGGAAUUCCAAGUGUAGCGGUGAAAUGCGUAGAGAUUUGGAGGAACACCAGUGGCGAAGGCGGCUUUCUGGCCUGUAACUGACGCUGAGGCGCGAAGGCGUGGGGAGCAAACAGGAUUAGAUACCCUGGUAGUCCACGCCGUAAACGAUGAGUGCUAAGUGUUAGGGGGUUUCCGCCCCUUAGUGCUGCAGCUAACGCAUUAAGCACUCCGCCUGGGGAGUACGGCCGCAAGGCUG
rnacentral:rRNA from 1 species